UACAGAGGUCCCAAGCGUUGUUCGGAUUCACUGGGCGUAAAGGGUGCGUAGGUGGGCGCGGUAAGUCGGGUGUGAAAUUUCGGAGCUUAACUCCGAAACUGCAUUCGAUACUGCCGUGCUUGAGGACUGGAGAGGAGACUGGAAUUUACGGUGUAGCAGUGAAAUGCGUAGAGAUCGUAAGGAAGACCAGUGGCGAAGGCGGGUCUCUGGACAGUUCCUGACACUGAGACACGAAGGCCAGGGGAGCAAACGGG
rnacentral:rRNA from 1 species